rnacentral:tRNA from 1 species
GGURGUGUYUGAGURGCUGAAGGAGCACGCCUGGAAAGUGUGUAUACGGCAACGUAUCGGGGGUUCGAAUCCCCCCCUCACCGCCA